ACCUUGUUGUUAAGCAGUGUGUUAAAAUGACAAAAAAGUAGGAUCAUGUCUUGGAUUUUGUAAGAAUGCUAAGAGAUUUCUCAGAACAAAAGUAGUUGCAUUGGAUCCCAAACACUAGAGUGAACCUCUUUCUUAAUAUCAAGUGCCUUAAUAUUUGGUGAAAUGUGU
ensembl:snoRNA